rnacentral:rRNA from 1 species
AAAUUGAAGAGUUUGAUCAUGGCUCAGAUUGAACGCUGGCGGCAGGCCUAACACAUGCAAGUCGAACGGUAACAGGAAGCAGCUUGCUGCUUCGCUGACGAGUGGCGGACGGGUGAGUAAUGUCUGGGAAACUGCCUGAUGGAGGGGGAUAACUACUGGAAACGGUAGCUAAUACCGCAUAAUGUCGCAAGACCAAAGAGGGGGACCUUCGGGCCUCUUGCCAUCGGAUGUGCCCAGA